CCUACGGGGGGCUGCAGUGGGGAAUAUUGGACAAUGGGCGAAAGCCUGAUCCAGCCAUGCCGCGUGUGUGAAGAAGGCCUUCGGGUUGUAAAGCACUUUCAGUGGGGAAGAAAGCCUUGGGGCUAAUACCCUCGAGGAAGGACAUCACCCACAGAAGAAGCACCGGCUAACUCCGUGCCAGCAGCCGCGGUAAUACGGAGGGUGCGAGCGUUAAUCGGAAUUACUGGGCGUAAAGCGCGCGUAGGCGGUCUGAUAAGCCGGUUGUGAAAGCCCCGGGCUCAACCUGGGAACGGCAUCCGGAACUGUCAGGCUAGAGUGCAGGAGAGGAAGGUAGAAUUCCCGGUGUAGCGGUGAAAUGCGUAGAGAUCGGGGGGAAUACCAGUGGGGAAGGCGGCCUUCUGGACUGACACUGACGCUGAGGUGCGAAAGCGUGGGUAGCAAACAGGAUUAGAUACCCCUGUAGUC
rnacentral:rRNA from 1 species